AACUGGACAAAAAAAAUAAAAAAAAAGUUGACUUAACAUGUGGGAAUAAGUUCAAAAAUGGUUUAACCAACUUAAUUUUAACUGUUGAUUGGAUAUACACAUGCAAGUUUACAAGCACACAAGUUGGUUUGGUGGUUGGCGCAUGCGCGCUGUAUAUUUGGACGGUUGAGCUCAGGUGGAACGAUAGCGCCAAUUUGAAACUUCAUCGCUUAAAUUAAGUAUCUUUUUUCUGUGUGUUUUGAAACUGAAGUUAAGUAAUGUAAUGUCGAUGGGCAAGCUUAUUUUAAAGCGAGUUUUUAUGAAAGAUCUAAUUCAACACAGUUAUUUUAACUUAUGUGCGAUUUGUCACAUAGACUUAACUCAGAAUGUAAUCGUGUUGUUUAUUACAUCACAGAAAAUGCUGUUGGAACUCAUGUGGAUAUCGUGCCAGCACAAGAUCACCUCAUUCAUUCAUUCAUUCAUUCAUUCACUCAUUCAUUCAUUUUCUACCGCUUAUCCGAACUUCUCUAUUCACGUGGAGCCUGUCUCAGGCGUCUCAAACUUCAUCGUUUAAAAUUGGUUAUGAGUUCAAAAGCAUUACCAAUGUGGAUCUCCUUGAUACAUUCAGAUCAUUGUUACACCAACAUACACCACAACUUCUGAAGUUGAACAGAGCAAGACAGGGGGCUUUUGGAAAAGAGAUGGAAGAUCUUCUUAACAGGCUUGAUCAACAGACCUCAAAUAUUGUGAAUCAUCGAAAGCAAGCAGUUCUGGAAGGUUUCCCUUUGUUUCUCCGUGAAGAUCGUUCUGCACUUUUCAGAAAAUAUCUGCUGAGUGUGUUUCAUUAAUUCUUCUGCAGAUAUAAAAUCUGACAACAUACAGUACUGGCACAUAACCUUAGACAGAAGACGUCUUUUCAACGUGUUUGUGGCUCAUUGGGAAACACUGUCUCCUCGCAUCAAGAAGGACACAUCUCCAGCAGACAGACAGACCAGAGGGAUAAAAAUGGCAUUGCCGAUCUUUUCAAACUUUGCUGUUGUUUUGGAGGAGACAAUUGUUCUGAAGGACAUUUCAGACCUUCCAUCUGCUGUGUCAUACCCGUUUGGCCUUGUCUUUGCCUUGGAUUUUGAAUACCCCAAAGAACUCAAUUUUUUUUUUUUUUUUUUUUUGAGGUGAUUGAGAAGGUGUUUCUGGAAAUGGGCACUCACUGCUCCGCGAGAGUACAGUACAGUCCUUUAAAACAAAACUCUUGCUGUGAAAGUUAAAAUCGUGUCAGAGUCUUUGAAAAUCUUUGGAUUUGAUCUUAAUGUUAAAAUGUGAAAGAUUGUUGAACUGUGAAUUUGUUAAUAUGUUCGAUGUUUUAAGACUGUUUAAUGUCAUAAUUAUUUUAGUUUUUUGGUGUUACUAUUGCUGAGAAUUGUUAAAGACAUGUUAAAAGGUUAAAGGUGAUACAUUUAUCUUUAGUUUUUAUGUUUUUAAUUAUUAUUAUUGAUUUUGCCAUUUAUUUUUUCCAUUUAUUUAUAUUUAUUAUAUUGACUGUCAUUUAUAUCUAUAUUUUUAUUUAUUUUGUUCUGUUAGGAAGUAUGACUUAUUUGACCUUGUUUGUAUUUCUUUGAAAGUUCAGAAAAAUAAACAAAUCUUGAAGCAUG